CUCGCGCGUCCGCUGAGUGAAGAAGGCAGAAGGGCUGUUUUGUUAGGAGAGUUACUUUAGAAGUCACCCUUGUUACCAAAGCACCAGGUUGUCUUGGACAUGAGGGAAGAGGGUGACACCUUGGCCUCAGCCAUCAUCUGUCUUCUGCUGGCACUGGUUGAAUCUCAUCAAGUUCAGUCUUUGCAGGAAGCUCCUUCUGGAUGGGAACCAUCUUUUAUGAGCUCUGACCCUAAUGUCAUGUAACUGAGGCCUAUGGCCCUGCAGCAGCUUCUCCUGAGCCUUUCACCAGUGGGGCAUCACUAAGAAGACAGUUACAUGAAGAAAAUUAAACUCCUCCCCACAAGUCCCCUGUGAAAACUUCUCAGCGUGGAGCUGCCCUAAACAUGGCAAUGUCCCUCUCACCUGAACUACUACAACCACUGGCCCCGCCAUAAACACUCUUGGCUCCCCUAUACUUUUUUCAAUCCAGCAUCAAAGUACAAAUCUGAUUGUUUCUUCCCAGCUGAAAAUCCAACAAUGGCUGCCUAUCUCACUUACGGAUUAAAACCCAAAUUCCUGUACACAUCCCACAAGACACUGAGGUAUGCUUCCCACUCUGACAUCUCAGGCCUGAUUCGAUGGUGUGCUCCCGGCUAAGCUCCAGGCAGGAGCUCUGCCUGGAGCUCUUUACUGACUCAGGGUCUUCUUACAUGCUGUUCUCUUUGUCUGGAAGUUUUCCCUGCUCUUCUCAUUUGGCUUCAUUGUCCAAAUCCUGUGGCUCUAAACAUAAAUGUCCCUGCCUCACAAAAGCCUCCCUGAUUCCCUAGAUCUGUCAGGACUCCCUGUAACACACUCUCACAUCACCAUCUACUUGAAUUCUGCUGCACAUUCCAUAGUUAUAAUGUGAUUAGUCACGUUCCAUAGUUAGUCAUGUGAUUUUCUGUAAUAUUUCUUCAUAGUUGGGAAGCAUCUGUGAGUACUUGCCCUGUUCACUUCUAUAUUCUUGAUAUCAACACAGUGCCUGAAGUUAAAACAUCCCACUGAAUACUUGAAGAAUGAGUGAAAAAGAGCCUCUACUAAAUUUUACAAAUAGCAGCUGCAUUCACAAACCAGAGCAGUCAUGAAGUCAAACCAUCUUCUGUGAAUGAACACCCUCCAUCAGUCACGUCGGCCUCAGUCAGGGUGAUAAUAUAAACACUGUGAAUGUCAGUGACCACCUUGACCACAGCCACAAACCAGGCACAUCCACAAUGUACCUUUUCCUGACUCUUAUUCAAAUACCGAAUUCCCCCUUUCUGAUAUUUUUCAGAAUUCAGAGUGGUUAGGGUUGUUUUGCAAAUGCAUCUGUUUUUAAAAAGGAAAACAUCUGUUUUCCACCGAGGAAACAUUAGCCAUUAUUUAAUUAAAGGUGGAGGGAACAAUUAUGUUUUUGGAAUCACAGGCCAUUUCAUAUACAUAGUGAAGAACUGACUAUAUACAAACAUACAGCUUGCAAAACAUUGCAAAAGCUGCAAGGAGAAGCACCUACUUGUCACUGUAACCUAUCUUUUUUCUUCCACUAACACCCAACAUCAUCCCAAAGUAAAAAUCAAUUUCCAAAUGGAAUAGAAUCAUGUUGGCAGCAUAAGAAAUGUGAAAAAAAAGAUUGCCAUCUGGAAAA